UACGGAGAGUGCAAACGUUGUUCGGAUUCACUGGGCGUAAAGGGCACGUAGGCGGCUCGGCAAAUCGGCCGUGGAAUCCCGACGCUUACCGUCGGAACGGCGGCCGAAAAUACCGGGCUCGAGGGCGUGAGGGGUCACUGGAACUCCUGGUGAAGCGGUGAAAUGCGUAGAUAUCAGGAGGAACGCCGGAGGCGAAAGCGAGUGACUGGCGCGUUCCUGACGCUGAGGUGCGAAAGCUAGGGGAGCAAACAGG
rnacentral:rRNA from 1 species